rnacentral:rRNA from 1 species
AUUGAACGCUGGCGGCAGGCCUAACACAUGCAAGUCGAGCGGGGUUUUCGGACCUAGCGGCGGACGGGUGAGUAAUGCGUAGGAAGCUGCCCGAUAGAGGGGGAUACCAGUUGGAAACGACUGUUAAUACCGCAUAAUGUCUACGGACCAAAGUGUGGGACCUUCGGGCCACAUGCUAUCGGAUGCGCCUACGUGGGAUUAGCUAGUUGGUGAGGUAAUGGCUCACCAAGGCGACGAUCUCUAGAUGGUUGGCGAGGAUGAUCAGCCACACUGGAACUGAGACACGGUCCAGACUCCUACGGGAGGCAGCAGUGGGGAAUAUUGGACAAUGGGCGCAAGCCUGAUCCAGCCAUGCCGCGUGUGUGAAGAAGGCCUUCGGGUUGUAAAGCACUUUCAGCGAGGAGGAAGGGUGGUGUGUUAAUAGCACAUCAUUUUGACGUUACUCGCAGAAGAAGCACCGGCUAACUCUGUGCCAGCCGCCGCGGUAACAC